rnacentral:rRNA from 1 species
UACGUAGGGGGCAAGCGUUGUCCGGAAUCAUUGGGCGUAAAGCGCACGCAGGCGGUCGGGCGCGUGGGGUGUGAAAUCUGGCCGCUUAACGGCCAGGCGCCAUCCCAUACGGCUCGACUGGAGUGAUGCAGAGGUCGAUGGAAUUGCCGGUGUAGUGGUGAAAUGCGUAGAGAUCGGCAGGAACACCCAGGGGGAAACCAGUCGACUGGGCAUCUACUGACGCUGAGGUGCGAGAGCGUGGGGAGCGAACCGG